rnacentral:rRNA from 1 species
UAGGGAAUCUUCCACAAUGGACGAAAGUCUGAUGGAGCAACGCCGCGUGAGUGAAGAAGGGUUUCGGCUCGUAAAACUCUGUUGUUAAAGAAGAACAUAUCUGAGAGUAACUGUUCAGGUAUUGACGGUAUUUAACCAGAAAGCCACGGCUAACUACGUGCCAGCAGCCGCGGUAAUACGUAGGUGGCAAGCGUUGUCCGGAUUUAUUGGGCGUAAAGCGAGCGCAGGCUGUUUUUUAAGUCUGAUGUGAAAGCCUUCGGCUCAACCGAAGAAGUGCAUCGGA